GUCUCACCGCUAGGUUACUAAGUCUCUGAGCACGCGGUCUCACCGCUAGGUUACUAAGUCUCUGAGCACGCGGUCUCACCGCUAGGUUACUAAGUCUCUGAGCACGCGGUCUCACCGCUAGGUUACUAAGUCUCUGAGCACGCGGUCUCACCGCUAGGUUACUAAGUCUCUGAGCACGCGGUCUCACCGCUAGGUUACUAAGUCUCUGAGCACGCGGUCUCACCGCUAGGUUACUAAGUCUCUGAGCACGCGGUCUCACCGCUAGGUUACUAAGUCUCUGAGCACGCGGUCUCACCGCUAGGUUACUAAGUCUCUGAGCACGCGGUCUCACCGCUAGGUUACUAAGUCUCUGAGCACGCGGUCUCACCGCUAGGUUACUAAGUCUCUGAGCACGCGGUCUCACCGCUAGGUUACUAAGUCUCUGAGCACGCGGUCUCACCGCUAGGUUACUAAGUCUCUGAGCACGCGGUCUCACCGCUAGGUUACUAAGUCUCUGAGCACGCGGUCUCACCGCUAGGUUACUAAGUCUCUGAGCACGCGGUCUCACCGCUAGGUUACUAAGUCUCUGAGCACGCGGUCUCACCGCUAGGUUACUAAGUCUCUGAGCACGCGGUCUCACCGCUAGGUUACUAAGUCUCUGAGCACGCGGUCUCACCGCUAGGUUACUAAGUCUCUGAGCACGCGGUCUCACCGCUAGGUUACUAAGUCUCUGAGCA